CUGUAAGCCUGCGAAGGUGACCUGUGAGGGUUGCUGGAGGUAUCAGAAGUGCGAAUGCUGACAUAAGUAACGAUAAAGCGGGUGAAAAGCCCGCUCGCCGGAAGACCAAGGGUUCCUGUCCAACGUUAAUCGGGGCAGGGUGAGUCGACCCCUAAGGCGAGGCCGAAAGGCGUAGUCGAUGGGAAACAGGUUAAUAUUCCUGUACUUGGUGUUACUGCGAAGGGGGGACGGAGAAGGCUAUGUUAGCCGGGCGACGGUUGUCCCGGUUUAAGCAUGUAGGCUGGUUAUCCAGGCAAAUCCGGAUAAUCAA
rnacentral:rRNA from 1 species